UACGUAGGGCGCAAGCGUUGUCCGGAAUUAUUGGGCGUAAAGAGCUCGUAGGCGGCUUGUCACGUCGGGUGUGAAAGCCCGGGGCUUAACCCCGGGUCUGCAUUCGAUACGGGCAUCACUAGAGUUCGGCAGGGGAGACUGGAAUUCCUGGUGUAGCGGUGAAAUGCGCAGAUAUCAGGAGGAACACCGGUGGCGAAGGCGGGUCUCUGGGCCGAUACUGACGCUGAGGAGCGAAAGCAUGGGUAGCGAACAGG
rnacentral:rRNA from 1 species